AAGUGGACAAAGGACUUGAACAGACAUUUCCCCAAAGAAGAUGUACAAAUGACCAAUGAGCACAAGAAAAGUUGCUUAACAUCACUAAUCAUUAGGGAAGUAUAAAUCAAAACCACAGAAACCACUCACAA